CUCCAUGACAGAGACAUCAGGACUCUGGGUCACAACAAGCGUGCCUGUUGAAGAAACACCUAUGAGGAGACAGAGUGAUACAGCAGCAGGUGAUGUUUACCGUCUCCCCCUCCAUGACAGAGACAUCAGGAGUCUGGGUCACAACAAGUGUUCCUGUUGAAGAAACACCUGUGGGAGACAAAGUGAUACAGGUCUACUGAACCAGCCAUUCUCAACCAGUGGGCUGCGGCCCACAGGUGGGCCUCAGAGCACCAUCUAGUGGUUUUCAAUGAACUGAUGGAACUAUCAGCAGACAGCAGCCUGAAGCUUCAGCUCACACAAGUUGACUCUGCUUCAUUCUGGAUACUGGCUGCCAGUCAAUAUCCCUCUCUGUCAAAACAAGCAAUCAAAUUUCUGUUGCCUUUCACCACCGCCUAUUUGUGUGAGUCAGGGGUUUCCGUUGUGACUGUCACAAACUCAAAGACAAGGAACAAUCUGAAAGCAACUUGGAAUGCUACUCUGCACGUCAGUCUCUCACCCAUCCCACCAUGACUUGAUCUCAUUAUUUCCCAGAAGCAAGUGUCUCACUGAGGGUAAACUGAAUAUUUAUUUUGGUCAUUACAGCUGACAGUGACAUAACACGUAUUUCCAUAUUUAUUUGUUAUGUUUUUUUCAUUUAUUUUGGAAGGUGUUUCUCGGAAAUGUUUUAACAAUCAGAAGUGGGCCUUAAGUUACAAAAGGUUGAGAACCCCUGUACUAAACGGAUGUGGCCUGGUGUUCUGUGCUCUGGACUACCAGUAUGAUGAUGUGUGAAAACAGGAAGACCAUCAACCACAAACUGCAAAAUUUUCAGUCUUCAAAGCCAUAACUGACAAAGCUCUUCAGCAGCACUGAGAUGUUGUUUGUGACAUGCAGCUCAACAAACACAGCUGCUAAUUCAUAGACAAACAUUUCUGAGAAUUGUGU